UACGUAGGGUGCGAGCGUUAAUCGGAAUUACUGGGCGUAAAGCGCACGUAGGUGGCGACGUAAGUCGGGUGUGAAAGCCCCGGGCUCAACCUGGGAAUUGCAUUCGAGACUGCAUUGCUGGAGUACGAAAGAGGAAGGCGGAAUUCCCGGUGUAGCGGUGAAAUGCGUAGAUAUCGGGAGGAACAUCAGUGGCGAAGGCGGCCUUCUGGUCCAGUACUGACACUCAAGUGCGAAAGCGUGGGGAGCAAACAGG
rnacentral:rRNA from 1 species